rnacentral:rRNA from 1 species
AUUGAACGCUGGCGGCAUGCCUUACACAUGCAAGUCGAACGGCAGCGGGGACUUCGGUCCGCCGGCGAGUGGCGAACGGGUGAGUAAUAUAUCGGAACGUACCUUUCAGUGGGGGAUAACGUAGCGAAAGUUACGCUAAUACCGCAUAUUCUGUGAGCAGGAAAGCAGGGGAUCGCAAGACCUUGCGCUGAUUGAGCGGCCGAUAUCAGAUUAGCUAGUUGGUGAGGUAAAGGCUCACCAAGGCGACGAUCUGUAGCGGGUCUGAGAGGAUGAUCCGCCACACUGGGACUGAGACACGGCCCAGACUCCUACGGGAGGCAGCAGUGGGGAAUUUUGGACAAUGGGGGCAACCCUGAUCCAGCCAUGCCGCGUGAGUGAAGAAGGCCUUCGGGUUGUAAAGCUCUUUCGGCCGGGAAGAAAUCGCGCAGGCUAAUACCCUGUGUGGAUGACGGUACCGGAAUAAGAAGCACCGGCUAACUACGUGCCAGCAGCCGCCGUAAUAC